UUCCCUUUCGUUGACGAGGGGCGCU
rnacentral:piRNA from 1 species